AAGACUAUACUUUCAAGGAUCAUUUCUAUGGUAUGUGACUAGAGAAGUUCCUCUGAUCAUGUAGCACACUCGAAGCCACGAGGAGGAGCCAGAGCGUCUGUCCUCUCCUGAGUGUGAAGCCGGCUUUGGGUGUUGCUUCUGUGACUGCCUUUGGCCAUUAUUGAUGAUUGUUCUUCUCUUCCUUUGGAAGGGGCAGAGGAAGUGGU